AGUACAUAAUGUGGGCAUUAUUAUAACAAUCCCUUGAAUCUAUCUCAUGCGUCGAACAACGAUUCUCUUUUCUUUUAUGCAAAACUUGUGAUUUGGUUUCUAAAAU